GUUGAUCAAAUUGGUACACGCCAUCCACUACACCAUGUAUGGAAGACUGACCCCUGUACCACAAAUCUAUGUACGAGGAAUGGUAUCCAGACCACACGAGAACCUUGUGACCUAGGAUAUUCACCCCAUCCUAGCUGUGAGAAAGUUACUCCUCCUGGAAAAUGCUGUCCAGAGUGGAAGUGCAGGGGCUGCUUUGACCAGGGUGGCCGCUUCCAUCCCCUGGGCCAUGAGUGGAGCGCUGGGGACCCUUGUUUAGUAUUUGUCUGUACUGUGGAUGGAAUAAUACUAAAGUAUGUGCGGUGUGAGGACACGAAGCCGCCACAUGUUGGAUGUUCAGAGUACACCCCUGCGGGAAAAUGUUGUCCACAAUGGAACUGCAGUGAUUGUGUUGAUAAUACCGGGACGCGACAUCCACUGUAUGACCUCUGGAAGAGUGACACCUGCACGACGCACUUCUGUACAAAGAACGGCAUCCAGACUACCCGCGAACAGUGUGACCUGGGACCACCACCUCAUCCAAGUUGUUACAAGAUUACACCCCCAGGAGAAU